rnacentral:rRNA from 1 species
GGGGGAUAAAGGCUUCGGGAAUGUGACUCUCUUCGGGGAGUGUUAUAGCCCGCUGCGUAAUACCCCGUCGGGGAUCGAGGCUCGCGCUCUGCAACGAUGCUGGCAUAAUGGUCAUCAGUGACCCGUCUUGAAACACGGACCAAGGAGUCGAACAUUUGUGCGAGUGUUUGGGUGUCAAACCCUCACGCGUAAUGAAAGUGAACGGAGGUGAGAGCCUUUUAGGUGCAUCAUCGACCGAUCCUGAAGUCUUCGGAUGGAUUUGAGUAAGAGCAUAGCUGUUCGGACCCGAAAGAUGGUGAACUAUGCGUGGAUAGGGUGAAGCCAGAGGAAACUCUGGUGGAGGCUCGCAGCGGUUCUGACGUGCAAAUCGAUCGUCAAAUCUGCGCAUGGGGGCGAAAGACUAAUCGAACCAUUGAUGACCAGCUUUACUAGGUGGUUAAUAGGCCCCGUCAGGGGAUGCCUAGGUUGCCCUACCCUGUAGACCCUCUUAGUGCCUACCCUGCACC